rnacentral:ncRNA from 1 species
GUAGGUCUGUGGUUGAAAAUCGAGGCCAGUCGCAGGCAAAACGAUCCACGUAAGAAAUUUAAAAUGAAUUUUGAGCAUGGUGCGGUUUAGAAGUAAGACCUGCCGGUAAAACCGAGAGGGUUAGUAGUGAGAGGCAGCAGCCGCGUAGCGAACGCUCCAGCAGGCGGGUGUGGGGGCAAAAACCAGGUCAGCUGC